CAUGGACUACGACAAACUAAGAUCCACACACCUGGGGAUAUCCCCGUUGUACCACUGAAUUUUAUCAUGGUUGCCAUAGCGGGGCAUUAUAGCAGGGACACAGUCGAAGGAUGCAUUAAAGAAACUCUGCAGCUCUUAUCACGAUCAAUCUGCACACGAAAGAAA